GGGGGCGUUAUGGAUUCGACAUAAAUAAGACUUUUUAAGUUCAUGUCGAGAUUAACUUCUCUCGUUAAUCAAAAGUUAAUAUAUAUUAUUUGCCAAUAAUAAACUUUGUUGUGCUCAGAAUUUUAGCUUAGCUGCAUAAUUCAAAUUCAUAUUUUAUGUUUACUAUUUCAUAAUAAUUGAAUUUUGAGCUCUAAAUAAUAGUAUAGUGCUCAUUAACGUCUUAGUAUUGAGCGUUGAUAAUAUAAUAAGACUUAAUUUAAUAAAUCUUGCUCAUCAGGUUUGUUAACAAAGUUUUUUAAAGAUGAAGCUAAACAUGUAUAAACUUACUAAUUAUAGUUUAUGGACGUGGGUUCAAAUCCCACCGCCUCCA
rnacentral:tmRNA from 1 species